rnacentral:rRNA from 1 species
ACAUGCCUACAACUUAGUGUUAAUGCACCAGAUCCCAUUAUAACUCCGUAGUUAAGUGCGCUCAAGCUAGAGUAGUACUAGGAUGGUUGACUGCCUGGGAAGUCUUAGUAUUUUACAUGCC